rnacentral:rRNA from 1 species
CAGUGAAUAUUUUAAACAGCUGCGGUAUUUUAACUGUACUAAGGUAGCAUAAUAAUUUGCCUUAUAAAUUGAGGCUAGAAUGAAGGGUUUGACGAAGGUUUAACUGUCUCUAUUUUAUUUAUUAGAAUUUAAUUUUUAUAGUGAAAAAGCUUAAAUAUUUUAAAGGGAAGAGAAGACCCUAUUGAGCUUUAAUUUUAUAUAAUUAUAGUAAUAAUACUAUAGUAAGUAGAUAAAUUUUAAUUGGGGUGAUUAAGGAAUAAAUAUAUUAAUAAAUAACUUCCUUAAAAAUAAUACUGUUGGGUUAAGUAACCAAUGAAUAUUGCUUAUAGAAAGUUACCAUAGGGAUAACAGCGUAAUUUAUUUAGAGAGCUCUAAUUGAUAAAUGAGAUUGCGACCUCGAUGUUGGAUUAAAGUAACCUUAAGGUGCAGAAGCUUUAAUUGGUAAAUCUGUUCGAUUUUUAAAACUUUACGUGAUCUGAGUCCAGACCGGA